rnacentral:rRNA from 1 species
UGGAAGUAAAAAGUCGUAACAAGGUCUCCGUUGGUGAACCAGCGGAGGGAUCAUUACUGAGUUACCGCUCUAUAACCCUUUGUGAACAUACCUAUACGUUGCUUCGGCGGCCGUCCCCCGGGGCGUCCGCCGGAGGAUAACCAAACUCUGAUUUAACGACGUUUCUUCUGAGUGGCACAAGCAAAUAAUCAAAACUUUUAACAACGGAUCUCUUGGUUCUGGCAUCGAUGAAGAACGCAGCGAAAUGCGAUAAGUAAUGUGAAUUGCAGAAUUCAGUGAAUCAUCGAAUCUUUGAACGCACAUUGCGCCCGCCAGCAUUCUGGCGGGCAUGCCUGUUCGAGCGUCAUUUCAACCCUCAAGCACUGCUUGGUGUUGGGGCUCUACGGUUGACGUAGGCCCCCAAAACUAGUGGCGGACCCUCUCGGAGCCUCCUUUGCGUAGUAACUUUUGUCUCGCACUGGGAUUCGGAGGGACUCUAGCCGUUAAACCCCCCAAUUUUUUAAAGGUUGACCUC